rfam:Photobacterium marinum strain AK15 contig19, whole genome shotgun sequence.
AAUCAAUCAACCUGUUUUUCUUUAGCUUCUUUUUUCUGUCACCUUAACGGGGGCUUUUCGUUACGCAAGAAAUAAGCUAAAGACGAACAGAAGGCCUCCUCAACCAGGAGGCCUUUUUUGU